GUGUUCCUACGGGACGCAGCAGUAGGGAAUCUUCGGCAAUGGGCGAAAGCCUGACCGAGCAACGCCGCGUGAAUGAAGAAGGCCUUCGGGUUGUAAAAUUCUGUUAUAAGGGAAGAAAGGUGAUAGGAGGAAAUGACUAUCAAUUGACGGUACCUUAUGAGAAAGCCACGGCUAACUACGUGCCAGCAGCCGCGGUAAUACGUAGGUGGCAAGCGUUAUCCGGAAUUACUGGGUGUAAAGGGAGCGUAGACGGCAGAGCAAGUCUGAAGUGAAAGCCCGCGGCCCAACUGCGGGACUGCUUUGGA
rnacentral:rRNA from 1 species